rnacentral:misc_RNA from 1 species
ACUGGCAGUAGUGGCUAGUCAGUGCUACUGCUAGUUCCACUACUAACCCGGUCAGGCUCUACCCUAGAGUAUAGCUCUAUAUUACUACUACUCCUAGCUAGUUCUACCAUCAUGAAACCCUCUAAAGCAGAGAAGAAAGCAAUAAGAAAGGAAGCAAAAUUAAAGAGCGCAUUGAUGACACACGAAGGAAUAUGUACGUCUUCGUCUCCUACGAAGCAUCUUUUCGUCGCAAACGGAGGCUUGGUCUGUGGUGUGAGCAAAGAGCAACUACUCGAGAUCUUUCAACCGUAUGGUGAGGUGUCCAACGUUGUCAUGGUGCCCGACAAGCCUCAUGCUUUCAUUAGCUACGUAGAUGUAGGUGGAGCAACACGUGCCGUCGCCUGUGCCCAGGGCUACGAUAUACGCAGUAGUGGAGCUCCCGGGGCCAAGCUUCACCUGCUGUACGUUGAAAAAUUGCCCGAUGUCAUUUCUCCGAGCAAUGAUGGGAUGGUGCUGCCACCUGGAUUGAUUUUGGUUCACGACAUCAUAUCAGAGGAUUACGAACGAGAACUUCUCGCUGCCAUCUGUUGGGAAGAGGAUUUUUCUACCCAAAAAGCUCAAAACAGUCUUCGACAUCGACAGGUGAAACACUUUGGCUACGAGUUUCGCUACGACAACAACAACGUUGACAAGGACAGUCCGCUAGAGCAGCCAGUGCCUGCCGCGUGUUGCUGUGUGCUGGACACGCUGCGAAACCUCGGACAUCUGCACCAGGAGCCGGACCAGCUUACCGUGAACCAGUAUCUACCCGGUCAGGGUAUCCCGCCGCACGUUGACACGCACUCGGCGUUCGAAGAUCAGCUCGUGUCGCUCAGUCUCGGAUCGGCCGCCAUGAUGGAGUUUCGGCGCGACGACGGGCGCCACCUACCGGUCGUGCUGCCGCGACGCAGCGCCAUCGUUAUGACGGGAGAAUCCAGAUACUUGUGGACGCACGGCAUCACGCCGAGGAAGACAGACGUGGUGCCGACAGAGAGCGGACGCGGGCUGACGCUGCAGCCGCGCGGGCUGCGAACAUCGUUCACGUUCCGCAAGGUGCGCCGGACACCGUGUGACUGCGGAUAUCCAGACCAGUGCGACUCACAGCGAAGCGCUAGCAGGGUUGCCACUGACAACACAGAAGAUGAAGCUCUCUCCAAGUCGAACCAGGAAGCUGCAGAGCUGGAGUGUGCACACGUACACCAGGUGUACGAGGAGAUAGCGGGACAUUUCAGUGGAACUCGGCACAGGCAGUGGCCCCAGGUGGCCGAGUUCCUAGCCUCACAACCUCGAGGGUCUCUCAUGCUGGACGUUGGGAGUGGAAACGGCAAAUACCUGGCAGGGAGCGAGCACCUCGUCAAGGUUGGCUGCGAUCGCAGCGGCAACCUGAAUGAGAUCAGCAGGCGGCGAGGUCACGAGGUGUUUGGCUGCGACUGCCUGCGCGUCGCCGUGCGCGCCGCCACCAUCGAUGUCUGCCUCUCCAUCGCCGUCAUCCACCAUCUCUCCACGCGGGAGAGAAGACUAGCCGCCAUUGAGGAGCUGAUGCGAGUGCUGACCCCUGGUGGCAAGGCUUUGAUCUACGUGUGGGCGAUGGAGCAGGAGCGUGGCGAACAAGCAAAGUCUAGUUACAUCAAGAAGAAGAACGCGAGAGAGGGAGAGCGGCCCGGCGUGCGGAGCGGUCCGGGAACGACGGACGCCGCGUCAGUGAACAGACGCGAACCCACGACCAGCUGUGACGGGAUGGUCGGUGAGACAGUGACCGGGAACACCGGCGACGCCACGAUGCGUCGACGAUCGACGGACGGACAUCCGGGCGAUGACGGCGGCUCAGACGAGGUUCCGCGCAAGCUUCCCGUUCACGUGAACAGGACGAACUUCAAGCACCAGGACGUGCUCGUGCCCUGGCACCUGCGCGGCGGCCGCCCGCCGCCCGUCGCCCCCGGCAAUGACAACGACGAGCAGACGCCGCCCGUCUUUCAUCGAUUCUACCACGUUUUUCGCCAGGGGGAGCUGGAGGCGCUGUGUGCGAGCGUCAGCUGCGCGAGGACGGUGAGGAGUUUCCAUGACAACGGCAACUGGUGCGUCGUACUAGAGAAGACUCGCGAGGAUUCUCCUCCUCUCUAGAAACAGAUCUCCCUAUAAUACGAACUAUAAUAUAUGUAUAUAAUAUAUAUAUAAUAUAUAUAGAACGAGUCCAGUCUCCCUAGUCCAGUCCUUCCUUCCGACUGAGAAGCUGCCCUGGAAGAGGCUGUUCGUGAUGUGUUUGCCCCAAACACAUUCAUAAGAGAGAGGAGGUGAGGGGUACGAGUGGGAGAGAGUGCAAGUGGUUCGAUCGAUGCAACAUCGUAAAACUGUUAAUCAUCAUUACCUGAAAACCCCCCAGUACAAUUAUGUACAGGUAUGUACAGGUAUGUACAGGUAUGUUGCGAGUAAUUGUUCAUGACUGUGACGACAGGCGAAGAAAGAUCGCCGAAUAAAAACGGCUGAGUUUUAGA